rnacentral:rRNA from 1 species
CGUGUAGGCGGCCGAUUAAGUAUGGAGUGAAAGUCCUGCUUUCAAGGUGGGAAUUGCUUUGUAGACUGGUUGGCUUGAGUGCGGAAGAGGUAAGUGGAAUUCCCAGUGUAGCGGUGAAAUGCGUAGAGAUUGGGAGGAACACCAGUGGCGAAGGCGACUUACUGGGCCGUAAUUGACGCUGAGGCGCGAAAGCGUGGGGAGCGAACA